GACGAACGCUGGCGGCGUGCUUAACACAUGCAAGUCGAACGGAAAGGCCCUGCUUUUGUGGGGUGCUCGAGUGGCGAACGGGUGAGUAACAUGGGAGUAACCUGCCCUUGACUUUGGGAUAACUUCAGGAAACUGGGGCUAAUACCGGAUAGGAGCUGCUGCUGCAUGGUGGGGGUUGGAAAGUUUCGGCGGAUGGGGAUGGACUGGCGGCUUAUUAGCUUGUUGGUGGGGUAGUGGCUUACCAAGUCUUUGACGGGUAGCCGGCAUGAGAGGGUGAACGGCCACAUUGGGACUGAGAUACGGCCCAGACUCCUACGGGAGGCAGAAGUGGGGAAUAUUGCACAAUGGGCGGAAGCCUGAUGCAGCAACGCCGCGUGCGGGAUGACGGCCUUCGGGUUGUAAACCGCUUUCGCCUGUGACGAAGCGUGAGUGACGGUAAUGGGUAAAGAAGCACCGGCUAACUACGUG
rnacentral:rRNA from 1 species